rnacentral:lncRNA from 1 species
AAGGAAAACAGAGCCAACAGCAGCUGCCUCCUUCAGGGUAGUUACGAAAGGGAAAAGGACAAUACAAAGGUCACAGCUCGAGCCUGCCGUUUCCUCUUGGCCCAGAGUCAGCUCCUCAGAACAAGGUGCCAUCUUUAGGUCAGUUUUAAUCAUUGUAUAGAGCAGCCAACUAAAAUCUUCAGCGAGAUGCUGAAUAAUGUUUUUACUGAUGUUACAAUAACUGACUGAAAAAGACAAUUCUCAUGACCUUUUCCUAAGGUAGAUGAGGUUUGCAUUUAAGGUAUAAGCUACACACACCACAGUUUUACUACCAUGGCUUCCUGUUGUACUUUCUGUAUGAGGGAGGUAAACCUGCACACACAUAAAAACCAUUGCAUGAAUGUCUGAAUAUGUGACAGGUUUGCCUGUCACUCAUGACAGACAAAAUACUCAUGACAUCCAUGUGCCAUAUUGCUGGAUAAAAUAUUUUCAGACAGAAAUAUUAUUUUUUUUUCAUUACUUUCUCCUGUUAGAUUUGUUCAGAGGUUACAAUGUCACUGGGAAUCAGCAAUUUAAUUUAUCUUAGGGUACUUUGAGGCUCAGGCCUCAUUGAAAUAAUAUAUUAUAAUAAAGUAAAGUAAUAUUUUGUGGGAGUUUUGUUGCUUGUCUAGAAUGCAGUGCUGCAAACUAAGCAAUUUUUCCCUGUCUGUGAUAUCGACAUGAUUAAAAAUACGCUCUUUGCAGAACUGAGCCCUUUCUUUUUAUUUUACGUUGUUAUUCUUGGUGCCUUUUGGAGACUCAAACACUAAGGUUGCCUUCACACUAAGUCUCUGCUUGAUAUACUUCUUCAUAGGCUGUAUACUAACUAAACACAAUCAAAAUUAAGUUUGUUUUCCUGUAAACAGAGUAGUGAACUGGGUUGGUUUGGUGUAUUUGCCGUUACAAAAACAUCUCUGUUGCUUUCUAUACUUUGUUCACCACAUCUGACCAAGGCAGACUCCUGACUUACUGUAUGGUAGUGAUACUGUGAUUUUUAAUUUAAGCAAUAUAAGGAAAUUUAUAUAAAUUCUGUUCUUAUGUUAUAGAAUUACUUCUGGUUAAAAUGUUGCUUGACCUUGCAGAACUUUCCAAUUGAACUGUAAUUUAACAGGGACUUGAAUUAAUGGUUCACAUUAAUAACACAUACAAAACACUGAUUCUCUUAGAAGGAUAAAUACAGAAAGGAAUCAGAUUUAGCUUUGUACCUUUCAAUUUAAAGUAAAAUAUUUUGGGGUUGAUUUCUUACAAAUAUUUAAUAUUCUGUCUUAGUUUUUUUUUUAAAUCAGAUUCCCAUUGCCAUUUCAUUUCAAUUUUUGUAAUUUAUUUCUCUUCACAUGGUAUUUUGGUUAAUAAAAUAUACAAAAUUGUA